rnacentral:tmRNA from 1 species
GGGGAUGCUUUGGUUUUGACAGCAAGGGAAAUUAGAAUGUAAGCAUGUCGAGCGUUGAGGUAGUGGCUCGUAAAUCCCAAAUCUCAAGCCAUAAUAGGCAACAAUAAUUACGCUCUCGCAGCUUAAUACGCUAAGCGUAUCGGCUUAAUCCGGUAGCCCAAGGCGGCUACAGGACGAGAAUCUCACGGAAAACGUGCCUUUCAGUUUUUCGAUUUUGAGGUUUCAUAUCAAGAAAGGAUUGUAUGUGCGACACCUUUAAGCAUGUAUGAAAAUUUAAAGGUUAAGGAUAAAAACGAUAGCUUUUUGUCAAGUUUUAUCCCUACAAUUUAAUAAAAAGCUACGCAUGUAGAAAACAUUCGGAUUACUUGUUUGGACGCGGGUUCGACUCCCGCCAUCUCCACCA